UACGAAGGGAGCUAGCGUUGUUCGGAAUCACUGGGCGUAAAGCGCACGUAGGCGGAUGUGUCAGUCAGGGGUGAAAUCCCGGAGCUCAACUUCGGAAUUGCCCUUGAUACAGCACAUCUGGAGUCCGGAAGAGGUGGGUGGAAUUCCUAGUGUAGAGGUGAAAUUCGUAGAUAUUAGGAAGAACACCGGUGGCGAAGGCGGCCCACUGGUCCGGUACUGACGCUGAGGUGCGAAAGCGUGGGGAGCAAACAGG
rnacentral:rRNA from 1 species